rnacentral:rRNA from 1 species
GACGAACGCUGGCGGCGUGCUUAACACAUGCAAGUCGAACGGAAAGGCCUCUUUCGGGGGGUACUCGAGUGGCGAACGGGUGAGUAACACGUGAGUAACCUGCCCUUGACUUUGGGAUAACUUCAGGAAACUGGGGCUAAUACCGGAUAGGAGCUCCUGCUGCAUGGUGGGGGUUGGAAAGUUUCGGCGGUUGGGGAUGGACUCGCGGCUUAUCAGCUUGUUGGGGGGGGAGUGGCUUACCAAGGCUUUGACGGGUGGCCGGCCUGGGAGGGGGACCGGCCACAUUGGGACUGAGGUACGGCCCAGACUCCUACGGGAGGGAGCAGUGGGGAAUAUUGCACAAUGGGUGGAAGCCUGAUGCAGCAACGCCGUGGGCGGGAUGACGGGCUUCGGGUUGUAAACCGCUUUCGCUCAUGACGAAGCUUUGUGUGACGGUAGUGGGUAAAGAAGCACCGGCUAACUACGUG